UCAAGUGAUACCCUUUCUCACAAGCAUCACAAACAAGAACAUUAUCAACCUCAUUCACUGUUGAUUUGCACAUUUGGCAAGUCAAAGCCUUACUAAUAUAAUCGCGAGAUGGCGGAGUCCAAGCAGGCCGCUCAGAGAGGCGCGGUUGAAUAAACUUCUGAACGAUCUUGCCAAUUUCAGCAUGAGUGCUGCUCAGAGGAGGAGACUUGACAAAGCUUGCCCCUUGUAAGUGUGGGAGUGUAGUUGGUAGAUUUCCAGCUGUGGUCUGAGUUAUAAAUGGCCUAUUUGCUGUCAUUUGCGAUUUGACAUCAGCUCCUCCCUCAACUUUGUUACCUGUCUGUGAUGUCACCCUGGUAUCUGGUCCACGUUUAGCUGCUGCAACUGAUGCAGGUUGCACCGACCAGGUUGGAGUUCUUAUAGCAGAAUGAUCUCCAGAAGUUGCUUGAACUUGCAACACAUGGGAAGAUCCAUUUGGUCGUCCAUCCAUUCUGAAACUUGGCCUGUCAACUCUGGGCAAUCCAACUAGAGAAGAAUCCCUUACUGGAUUCCCAGAGACCACUCCACUAGAAAUUACUGGUCUGACCUCACUGGUAGGCAGCUGAUAAGGUAAUGGUGCAGAACUUGCCGGAGUUCCAUGAACCAAAGGCGAAGCAGAUUGCAAGCUUCCUGAGGAAUUUACCGCAUGAUUUGCUUUAUUG
rnacentral:misc_RNA from 1 species